rnacentral:rRNA from 1 species
AUUGAACGCUGGCGGCAUGCCUUAUACAUGCAAGUCGAACGGUAACAGGUCUUCGGACGCUGACGAGUGGCGAACGGGUGAGUAAUACAUCGGAACGUGCCUAGUAGUGGGGGAUAACUACUCGAAAGAGUGGCUAAUACCGCAUGAGAUCUACGGAUGAAAGCAGGGGAUCGCAAGACCUUGUGCUACUAGAGCGGCCGAUGGCAGAUUAGGUAGUUGGUGGGAUAAAAGCUUACCAAGCCGACGAUCUGUAGCUGGUCUGAGAGGACGAUCAGCCACACUGGGACUGAGACACGGCCCAGACUCCUACGGGAGGCAGCAGUGGGGAAUUUUGGACAAUGGGCGAAAGCCUGAUCCAGCAAUGCCGCGUGCAGGAUGAAGGCCUUCGGGUUGUAAACUGCUUUUGUACGGAACGAAAAGCCCCGGGUUAAUACCCUGGGGUCAUGACGGUACCGUAAGAAUAAGCACCGGCUAACUACGUGCCAGCAGCCGCCGCCG